GCCAGCAUGGCAUAGUGGUUUGAGCGUUGGGUGACAACUCUGGAGACCAGGGUUCAACUCCCUGCUUGGCC
rnacentral:tRNA from 1 species